GCCGCGCAGCACGCACGCCCCAUGCCGCGCGAAACGCAGAUGAGGUCUCCGCGGCGCCUGAACUCGCGACCUAAGUACGAGCGCGGUGUCUGUUGACUGUGUGUGUCCAGCUUGCCCCAGGAUUGUCCCCGCCCGCGGCCAAUACAUAUCGCAGCAGAGAGUGGCCGGCAACGUGACUGCAGUCCCUCUGCCGUAGCGGUCUCCAUUCAACAUCAGGAGCGGAUAUGUCGCUCGGGCGCGGUGCCGAUGGCGCGGGCUAAGCGCUCUCGGCUAGGCGCCGAUGCGCGCCUGCCUCCUGCUGUGUGCGGCGCUCGCGCUCGC